GACGAACCGAGCGAACGUUGUUCGGAAUCACUGGGCUUAAAGGGCGCGUAGGCGGGUGACUAAGUCUGUGGUGAAAUCCGGCAGCUUAACUGUCGAAUUGCUAUGGAUACUGGUUGUCUCGAGGGAGGCAGGGGUGCGCGGAACUAAUGGUGGAGCGGUGAAAUGCGUUGAUAUCAUUAGGAACUCCGGUGGCGAAGGCGGCGCACUGGUCCUCUUCUGACGCUGAGGCGCGAAAGCCAGGGGAGCAAACGGG
rnacentral:rRNA from 1 species